UGCCUCGUUAUUCAGCAGAGGGACACAGCUCAUUGUGUGUCUGGAAUGGAACAACGAGGCUAGAGGAGUGGCAGGUUGUGCUUUCCUCACUGUAAGGCUGGUUGCAGUGGUGACAAUGAGACCUGUAACAGGG
rnacentral:snoRNA from 1 species